rnacentral:rRNA from 1 species
AACGAACGCUGGCUGCAUGCCUAACACAUGCAAGUCGAACGAGACCUUCGCGACUAGUGGCGCACUGGUGCGUAACGCCUGGGAACCUGCCCUUAGGUUCGGACUAACUCUCCGACAGGGGUGCUAUUACCGGAUAAUGUCUUCGGCCCAAAGCUUUUUGGCUUUUUGUUGGGCCCGCGGUGGAUUUGCUAGUUGGUAGGGUAAAAGCCUGUCAAGGCGACGUUGUAUAGCUGGUCAGAUAGAAUGAUCAGCCACUCCGGGACUUAGACACCGCCCAGACUACUACGGGAGGCAACAGUGGGGAAUAUUGUACUAUGGGCGAGAGUAUGACCCAGCAAUGCCGAGUGAGUGAUGAAGGCCUUAGGGUUGUAAAGCACUUUUACCCGGGAUGAUAAUGACAGUACCGGGAGAAUAAGCGCCGGCUAACUCCGUG